GAAAAUCACAACAAAUUGGAAUUGUAAUUUACAAGUAAAAUUAUUGAUUGUAUUGUUUCAAGGAGAGUACGACGACGAGUGCACCCAGCGACACAGGCGGACCUCUAAUCGGGUCCUUCGCAUUGACUGAACUGAAAAAAAAAGAAGUACUGGAGAGAGUUAAAAGAAAUGAAUAAAAAAAAUAAAAAACAAAUAUAAAAAUGAUUGUAAUAAUGUUUUAUUUUCCGAUAACAUAUAUUUGGUAGUUAAUCUUCCAUGCGUGAUGCAGUGUUGGUUAUGGCAGCUCUAGCGAGUUAGUAGUUGUUUAAUUAUUUGAUUCUGAAACAAGAAAACAUAUUAUGUUUAAAGUCUAAUAAAUUCAAAGUCAUAGGCACUUUGUACAAAGGAUGGCAUAAAAUUCAUAAGUUUUCUAAUGGUUAUAUGGGUGCAGUCAAUGCACCCACAUACAUUUGCCUGGAAUUACAUAUUUAUGAAAAAUGAGAAAUUAUUAAUGGCUUGUUUAACCUAAGUAAAUAAAGUGUUUAAAUUUAUUUUAAAUUAAAGGCUAAUGCUAUGUGGAUGAUA
rnacentral:lncRNA from 1 species